GACGAACGCUGGCGGCGUGCUUAACACAUGCAAGUCGAACGGAAAGGCCCUGCUUUUGUGGGGUGCUCGAGUGGCGAACGGGUGAGUAACACGUGAGUAACCUGCCCUUGACUUUGGGAUAACUUCAGGAAACUGGGGCUAAUACCGGAUAGGAGCUCCUGCUGCAUGGUGGGGGUUGGAAAGUUUCGGCGGUUGGGGAUGGACUCGCGGCUUAUCAGCUUGUUGGUGGGGUAGUGGCUUACCAAGGCUUUGACGGGUAGCCGGCCUGGGAGGGGGACCGGCCACAUUGGGACUGAGAUACGGCCCAGACUCCUACGGGAGGCAGCAGUGGGGAAUAUUGCACAAUGGGCGGAAGCCUGAUGCAGCAACGCCGCGUGCGGGAUGACGGCCUUCGGGUUGUAAACCGCUUUCGCCUGUGACGAAGCGUGAGUGACGGUAAUGGGUAAAGAAGCACCGGCUAACUACGUG
rnacentral:rRNA from 1 species